AAGUCGUAACAAGGUUUCCGUAGGUUGCUAGGGUUUGCCUACGCCAUCAGUCCACAUGGGCAACACCUUUACUGUGCUAGGAAUCACUAUAAUGUGGUACUAGCAGCUCGAGCAAGUCGAGUUCACAGGUCAAAUAAGGGUGGCUCUAGCAAGUAGAGUUGAGAUAUGAUCGAGCGGCAGUUCUAGGGAGCUGCAAUAGAAAGUGGAACCUGCGGAAGGAUCAUUAUAGAGAACAUGCCCUCUUUGGGUAUAUCUCCCACCCUCUGUUUACAAUGCCUCUGUUGCUUUGGUGGGCCCGUCUCAUGACCGCCGGCUGUAGCUGGUCUGUGCCCACCAGAGGACCUUAAAAUUCUUUGUUAUGUUGUCUGAGCACUACACAAAUAAUUAAAACUUUCAACAACGGAUCUCUUGGCUCUGGCAUCGAUGAAGAACGCAGCGAAAUGCGAUAAGUAAUGCGAAUUGCAGAAUUCAGUGAGUCAUCGAAUCUUUGAACGCACAUUGCACCCUCUGGUAUUCCAGGGGGUAUGCUUGUUCGAGCGUCAUUUAAACCCUCAAGCACUGCUUGGUGUUGGAUGCUAUCACUUGUGGUGUGUCCUAAAGGCAUUAGUGGUGGCAUUUAGCUUCUAGUGUAGUAAUUUUUCUCGCUUUGGAGGUAGAUGUCUGACUGCUGGAACCCUCAUUUAUCAAGGUUGACCUCGGAUCAGGUAGGGAUACCCGCUGAACUUAA
rnacentral:rRNA from 1 species